AAUCCGUGGUGUGGGAACUUUCUUAGCAUUUUCUUGAAACGUUCCACGCCUUGUACAGAGAUUUACCUUCAUAUUGUUUGAAAUUGGAAAUUUCUCGCCUGAGUUG
rfam:Gossypium raimondii chromosome 10, whole genome shotgun sequence.